rnacentral:rRNA from 1 species
AUUGAACGCUGGCGGCAGGCCUAACACAUGCAAGUCGAACGGGUGGCGGACGGGUGAGUAAUGUCUGGGACACUGCCUGGUGGAGGGGGAUCGCUACCGGGAACGGUAACUAAUACCGCAUUCCAGCAGCUGGGCCCGGUUGGGAUUAGCUAGUGGGUGGGGUAACGGCUCACCAAGGCGACGAUCCGUACCUGGUCUGAGAGGAUGAUCAGCCACACUGGAACUGAGACACGGUCCAGACUCCUACGGGAGGCAGCAGUGGGGAAUAUUGCACAAUGGGCGAAAGCCUGAUGCAGCCAUGCCGCGUGUAUGAAGAAGGUCUUCGGGUUGUAAAGUACUUUCAGCGGGGAGGCGUUACCCGCAGAAGAAGCACCGGCUAACUCCGUGCCAGCCGCCGCGGUAAUAC